AAAGAACGAUAAUCCCUUUAUAGAUUCCGUCAUAUUACAAGUCACAAAAAAGAAAUACCUAAUGAUAUAAUUAAAAAAUAUAAAAAACUUUAUAUAAUUUGAUUGAUCUUCAAAGUCUCACUUCAAAAAUUUGGGAGAAGUUUGCGAUCAUUUAAAAAACAGUAUUCAAAUUUAUACUAAGUGAAAAUAAGUUAUAUGGAUUUCGAUUGUGUUUCAAAUGCUUUAUUAAAUUAUAAAACACUUUUGACUCUGGCAGAAUACUUUAGGUUAUCUAAACCACCAUUUGUUCGUGAAGCUAUUCAUUGUGUACAAGCUACUCUAUUAAUAAAAAACUUGCCUUCAAAAGAAAAAGCACUUUCUAGAUUAAAUCUUGCAAAGUUAUUACUAGAACACACGAAAAACAUUGGACAUGCAAGGGGGCAUUUAGAAGAGUCUCAUCAGUUAUCAGCUUAUAUACAUGAUAUUGAUGGAGAAAGGAUUUUUUUUGAAAGUACUAGUUUGUUAGCUUUUGUAUGCGCUGAGCAGAAUCAAAGUACAUUAGCUAAGUCACUUCUAAGAAGUACUUUGGAAAGGUCAGUUUCAUCACCAUUGAAAAUAUGGCAUUAUAGACUAAUUUUUCAGCUUGCUGAGGUUCAUGCUCAUGACAAGGAAUUUAAUGUUGCUAUUGAUUUGUUAUCAAUGCUUGGUGAAACAACUGCUUCACAAAAUGGACAUGAGUUUGUUAGUUUAUUGUUUCUCCUGAGCAAGAACAUGUUGAUGCUUGCAACUAAAGAUCUUUACAGCUUUGAAUCUAAUUUGGUGCAGAUGGAAGAAAGGAUACACAUUUUUGCCAGUCAAACAAUGCACAUUAUUCGAAGAGAAAUUGUAAACUGUUUUGCUGGAUUUUUAAAAGUUUAUCACCAUUUAAUAUGCGGUAGGGCAAGAAGUGCAGUAGAGGAUCUCAAAAAGUUGCAAGAAAGCAUACAACUGCUUGCGGUUACUCCUGACGAUGGGACAUUAAAUGCUGAUGAUCCUGAGUCAUUUCAAUGGAUGUCUAAAGAGCAUCUUUGCAUACUUGUAUUUUUAAUUAAAGUUAUGCACUUUAUGCACAGUGGAUGUAUUGAUCGAGCAAUGAAGUAUGCUGAUAAAGCUUUAGCACUAAUUGAAAAAAUUAAAACACGUGGAAAUGAGUACCAAAUGACAAAUAUUUUUAAUGUAUGGCUUCUGGAAUAUGUUGCUAUGUGUAAAAUUAUACAAGGUCAAAGUGCACAAGCAAUAUUGGAGAUAUCAAAAGUCUAUGAAGUAAGCAGACAAGAUCCUAAGCUAGCUAAUAUGACAAAGCCAAGUAUUCACGUUAUGUUGGGUCUGUAUGCCAUGUCAAUGAAUUUGAUGUCAGAUGCAGAAGUACAUUUUAAGAAAGCCUUGAAUCUUUCUCAUAACCAAUGUGAUACCUAUUACCUUGCUGCUAUCAGCUUAGCAAUAGUUUAUAUUAGAUUUGGUGCUCAACAAGCAAUACCUUUCAAAGAACUUCUUCACACAUUUAAUGAAAAAGCUGUUACAAGGUCCAAAGUCAUUCGCUCUGCAUACUUUUAUAUGCAAGGACUAAAGAUGUUCUUUUAUUCUAAAUUGGAAGAAUCAAAGCUUUUUUUAAUGGAAAGUUUAAGAAUCAGUAACACAGAAGAUUUAUCACGCAUGACAGCUUGCUCAUUGAUGCUGCUAAGUCAUGUGACAUUUGCUAUGGGAAAUCCACAAGAAACUAUUAGCAAGGUUGUUCCAGCUAUGCAGUUGGCAAACAAAAUUCCAGAUAUUUAUUUACAACUCUGGGGCUCUUCUUUGUUAAAAGAUUGCUAUAGUUUGACCAAUGAUGUUGUUCGAUAUGAAGAAGGAUCUCAGCUUCACAGUAAAUGUACUACUCAACUUCUUCAAGAUCAUUAUACAGCUGUAUCACAGCCUGAACAUAAUUUAUUGAAAUUUGAUUUAACUCAACAUCUCUGAGGUGACAACUUGAUUUGACUCAACAGCUCUAAGGGUUGACUUGGUUUGACUUGGUUUGACUUAACAAAGCCUGAGGAUUUUAUUUGAUGUCAAUGAAAAUGGUUAUCAAUAAAUCCCUGAAGAUUUAUGCUUAAAACUCUUUGGAUUUUUCUUCAAAAAGUUUUUAACAUUUGUAUUCUUGUAAUAGUUGAUUGGUUUGCAAACA